GAGGGGCGUAGCCAGGGCCCCACCCUGGACACUCUGCACUCCACCUCCCAGUCUCCAGCAACCCUGCCUCUGCAGGCCCCUCACCAGGCCUCACACACUCUCUGUCUGCGUUCUUUUUUGAGUCAAUAUGUCUUCUGGAGUCAUAGCCCCAGAUCUCAGCAGUCAUUCUGUUCUGUCAUUCUGUGGCUCAGGACCACAUUUACACAGAGAUCUCACAAGGACACACACACAAUUACACAAUCACGGGCAAACAAAUUGAUAUGUGGCCCACUGUUACAAGCCUUCAAAAUGCAGAUACAUACCUAUGUGACCCCAUCUUCCUACACACACAGACACUAUUAGAUUCAUACAGACACAGACACAAUUUGCACACAAACGCAGAACAUAUUAAUUCAAAAGACACACCCACCGUGUGUUCAUAUAGUCCUUGUGUGUGUUCAUUCAAGACCAGACAUAUCCAUGGAAACCCUGCCAGGAAGGCUUAGCCUGGCUCCAGAGAGGCCAGCAAGGGCCCUCUCGACACAUUCAACACCUCAGGGAUCCUUGAACUUCCCCGCUAGGAACACUGGCUGGGUCAUCAGCUCUGUCCUAACCCAGCUAGACUCCAAGGUGACCCAGAGCAGGCAGGCUGACUGCUGGGGCUGUAACGGGACCUGGUGAUGCCUCUACCAGCUCCAGGCCAAAAGAACAACAGCUCAUUCCUGAGAUAAGGAUCCUGCUGCCAUCUGCCAGAUCCUGAGGCGGCUCAAGGCAAGCCAGGGAUGAACCAGAACUCGGCUGAGAGCAGAGGCUCCACCCUGGAGAAGCACCGCUGGAAGCACCCACGCAGGGAAGACUCUCUCCAUGCCAUAGGAGCCUGCCAGGCAGGAGGCACUAAGGAAGUACUAUAGGGAAUGAGAGAGGAGAGCCCGGAGAGAGGGAAGAAAGGCAAAGUGGAAGAGAGAGCUGGAUGGGAGACUUGUGGAGAGACAGGAAUGGAGGAAUCACAAUGGACUCUCCAAGGAAGAGGACAGUGGUGAUUCUUUGCCCCAACAAAAGCUGGCCAUGCUUUAUGGGGUGUCAUCUCAAUAGUGGUGCCUACUCUCUGCUUGUAAA